GGGGAGUUAGUUAAAUUAUAACAUUAUCUUGUCAAGACAAAAUUACUAGUUAAACCCCUGUACUCCCCU
rnacentral:tRNA from 1 species